AACGCUACAGGAGAUGGCAUGCCUCCUGACCAACAACCGCCGUUUCGGCUGAUGAUGCCUACGUGUUC
rnacentral:ncRNA from 2 species